rnacentral:rRNA from 1 species
AUUGAACGCUGGCGGCAGGCCUAACACAUGCAAGUCGAGCGAGCGGCGGACGGGUGAGUAAUGUAUGGGGAUCUGCCCGAUAGAGGGGGAUAACUACUCGAAAGAGUGGCUAAUCCCGCAUACUAUUGGAGCGGCCGCUAUCGGAUUAGCUAAUUGGUGGGGUAAAGGCCCACCAAGGCGACUAUCCGUAGCUGGUUUGAGCGGACGACCAGCCAAACUGGGACUGAGACACGGCCCAAACUCCUACGGGAGGCAGCAGUGGGGAAUUUUGGACAAUGGGGGAAACCCUGAUCCAGCCAUCCCGCGUGUAUGAGAAGGCCUUCGGGUUGUAAAGUACUUUUGGCAGAGAAGCGGUAUCUGCAGAAUAAGCACCGGCUAACUACGUGCCAGCAGCCGCGGUAAUAC